rnacentral:rRNA from 1 species
AUGGACGGAUGGAUGGACCCCGCCACGGAGGCGUUACCCUCAGCGGCGAUCGAGCUGAACAUCGACCUUACCUCGCACGAGAGCCAUGUUGUUAAACUGCCGAAUUCUUCUCCGGCCACGGACUCCGAACCGCCUGCACCCGUUCCUAUCGAAUCUGAUUGGGCGCCGAUCAUGGAGUUUACCUCCGCGGAUAUCUUUCAACACUCGCCCUUCGGCCAUAUACUGAACUCAUUAAAGUCUCUCUCCUUGUCAGGAGAGUCCUGGCCGAACUAUGUCCGGCAGGACUGGGAUGCAGACGACGAAGAAUUUCGCCGCCCACCCACCACCCACUUAGUAGCCACUGUCGAUGACUUAACCGACAUGCUCGACUUCGACUUCGACGACAUCGACGGUAUGGACGACGAUGCGGGAGACGAAGAGGAACCACUGCCCACAGGGCACUGGACAGCCACCUCAUCAUACGAUAUAUACAUGGUGGAUACACCCAAACAAGGCAAUGGCAACGAGACAGUGGAGGAUGACCCCUCCAAGAAGCAACCCAAGUGCCGACGUCAGCGGCGCCGCUCUAAGUCCUGCCAAAGCAAAAGUGGUGAUACCGGCACAGAUAACACUCCGGAUAGUGCCGAAGACAACAACAACCCCCUCCAGCAAGAUUUAGAGCAGGAGGAUGGAGGAGUCAGCCCUCCUGAGAGAGCGGCAGACGGAGAGGCGGAGGAUGAUAAUUACAUGCCCCCCUCCAAAGACGAGGCAAGCCUCGGCGAUGACGAAUUCGCCGUGCCACAGGAUCCCAUCGAACAAGAGCGCUUCAAGCGUGGGCUUAUGGCCACGGCAAAUAGCCUUAAGAAAAAGUAG